rnacentral:rRNA from 1 species
UACGAAGGGGGCUAGCGUUGCUCGGAAUCACUGGGCGUAAAGCGCACGUAGGCGGCUUUUUAAGUCAGGGGUGAAAUCCUGGAGCUCAACUCCAGAACUGCCUUUAAGACUGCAUCGCUUGAACAUCGGAGAGGUAAGUGGAAUUCCGAGUGUAGAGGUGAAAUUCGUAGAUAUUCGCAAGAACACCAGUGGCGAAGGCGGCUCACUGGCCCGGUACUGACGCUGAGGCACGAAAGCGUGGGGAGCAAACAGG